ensembl:misc_RNA Metazoa_SRP Metazoan signal recognition particle RNA
GCCGGGCACGGUGGUGUGUUCCUGUAAUUCCAGCUACCUGGGAGGCUGAGGCGGGAGGAUCACUUGAGUCCAGGAGUUUGAAUCCAGCCUGGGCAACAUAGUGAGACCCCAUCUCUU